GGUAAGCAGAACUGGCGAUGUGGGAUGAACCAACGUAAAGUUAAAGUGCCUAAAAGUACGUUCAUCAGAUACCACAAAAGGUGUUGAUUCAUCUUGACAGUUGGACAGUGGCCAUGGAAGUCGGAAUCUGCUAAGGAGUGUGUAACAACUCACCAACCGAAUGAAUUAGCCCUGAAAAUGGAUGGCGCUUAAACGUACUACUUAUACUUUACCAUUAAGAUAAAUGCUAAAUCUUAAUGAGUAGGAGGGCGUAUGGAUAAUUUAGAAGACUGAUAGUGAUAUUGGUUGGAAUUAUCUUUAGUGCAGAUCUUGGUGGUAGUAGCAAAUAUUCAAUAGGGAACAUUGAAGACUGAAGUGGAGAAAGGUUUCACAUGAACAACACUUGGAUGUGAGUUAGUCGAUCCU
rnacentral:rRNA from 1 species